AAGUUGUAAUAAGGUUUUCGUAGGUGAACUUGCGGAAGGAUUAUUACUAAAGAUUGAGAGAUCAAUUUUAAUUCGCUUGGUGUUUAGAGGUUCUGGACUUCGAACUGGUCAACUUUUUGUGAAUUAAAAAACCUUUUCGCUUCGGUAGCUGGGCCUGACCGCCUGUCAGCUUGUUGCUAGUACUAAUCUUUUAAACUUGUUGUUAAACAUUGUCUGAUGAUUAAAAUUUUCGAAUGAAAAUCAAAACUUUUAACAACGGAUCUCUUGGUUCCC
rnacentral:misc_RNA from 1 species